AACGAACGCUGGCGGCAUGCCUAACACAUGCAAGUCGAACGAGACCUUCGGGUCUAGUGGCGCACGGGUGCGUAACGCGUGGGAACCUGCCCUUAGGUUCGGAAUAACUCCCCGAAAGGGGUGCUAAUACCGGAUAAUGUCUUCGGACCAAAGAUUUAUCGCCUUUGGAUGGGCCCGCGUUGGAUUAGCUAGUUGGUAGGGUAAAAGCCUACCAAGGCGACGAUGCAUAGCUGGUCGGAGAGGAUGAUCAGCCACACUGGGACUGAGACACGGCCCAGACUCCUACGGGAGGCAGCAGUGGGGAAUAUUGGACGAUGGGCGAAAGCCUGAUCCAGCAAUGCCGCGUGAGUGAUGAAGGCCUUAGGGUUGUAAAGCUCUUUUACCCGAGAUGAUAAUGACAGUACCGGGAGAAUAAGCACCGGCUAACUCCGUG
rnacentral:rRNA from 1 species